UACGUAGGGUGCGAGCGUUAAUCGGAAUUACUGGGCGUAAAGCGUGCGCAGGCGGUUUUGUAAGCCAGAUGUGAAAGCCCCGGGCUUAACCUGGGAAUGGCAUUUGGGACUGCAAGGCUGGAGUGUGGCAGAGGAGACUGGAAUUCCUGGUGUAGCAGUGAAAUGCGUAGAUAUCAGGAGGAACACCGAUGGCGAAGGCAGGUCUCUGGGCCACUACUGACGCUGAGAAGCGAAAGCAUGGGGAGCGAACAGG
rnacentral:rRNA from 1 species